rnacentral:rRNA from 1 species
AACGAACGCUGGCGGCAGGCUUAACACAUGCAAGUCGAACGCAUCCUUCGGGGUGAGUGGCAGACGGGUGAGUAACGCGUGGGAACGUGCCCUUCAGUUCGGGAUAACCCAGGGAAACUUGGGCUAAUACCGGAUACGUGCGAGAGCAGAAAGAUUUAUCGCUGAAGGAUCGGCCCGCGUCUGAUUAGCUAGUUGGUGGGGUAAUGGCCCACCAAGGCGACGAUCAGUAGCUGGUCUGAGAGGAUGAGCAGCCACAUUGGGACUGAGACACGGCCCAAACUCCUACGGGAGGCGGCAGUGGGGAAGAUUGGACAAUGGGCGCAAGCCUGAUCCAGCCAUGCCGCGUGAGUGAUGAAGGCCUUAGGGUUGUAAAAUACUUUCACCGGGGAAGAUAAUAACGGUACCCGGAGAAGAAGCCCCGGCUAACUUCGUGCCAGCAGCCGCCGUAA